AGCGUACACGGUGGAUGCCCUGGCAGUCAGAGGCGAUGAAGGACGUGCUAAUCUGCGAUAAGCGCCGGUAAGGUGAUAUGAACCGUUAUAACCGGCGAUUUCCGAAUGGGGAAACCCAGUGUGAUUCGUCACACUAUCAUUAACUGAAUCCAUAGGUUAAUGAGGCGAACCGGGGGAACUGAAACAUCUAAGUACCCCGAGGAAAAGAAAUCAACCGAGAUUCCCCCAGUAGCGGCGAGCGAACGGGGAGGAGCCCAGAGCCUGAAUCAGCAUGUGUGUUAGUGGAAGCGUCUGGAAAGGCGCGCGAUACAGGGUGACAGCCCCGUACACAAAAGCGCAUGUGCUGUGAGCUCGAUGAGUAGGGCGGGACACGUGGUAUCCUGUCUGAAUAUGGGGGGACCAUCCUCCAAGGCUAAAUACUCCUGACUGACCGAUAGUGAACCAGUACCGUGAGGGAAAGGCGAAAAGAACCCCGGCGAGGGGAGUGAAAAAGAACCUGAAACCGUGUACGUACAAGCAGUGGGAGCACAGGUUUACCUGUGUGACUGCGUACCUUUUGUAUAAUGGGUCAGCGACUUAUAUUCUGUAGCAAGGUUAACCGUAUAGGGGAGCCGUAGGGAAACCGAGUCUUAACCGGGCGUUAAGUUGCAGGGUAUAGACCCGAAACCCGGUGAUCUAGCCAUGGGCAGGUUGAAGGUUGGGUAACACUAACUGGAGGACCGAACCGACUAAUGUUGAAAAAUUAGCGGAUGACCUGUGGCUGGGGGUGAAAGGCCAAUCAAACCGGGAGAUAGCUGGUUCUCCCCGAAAGCUAUUUAGGUAGCGCCUCGUGAAUUCAUCUCCGGGGGUAGAGCACUGUUUCGGCUAGGGGGCCAUCCCGGCUUACCAACCCGAUGCAAACUGCGAAUACCGGAGAAUGUUAUCACGGGAGACACACGGCGGGUGCUAACGUCCGUCGUGAAGAGGGAAACAACCCAGACCGCCAGCUAAGGUCCCAAAGUCAUGGUUAAGUGGGAAACGAUGUGGGAAGGCCCAGACAGCCAGGAUGUUGGCUUAGAAGCAGCCAUCAUUUAAAGAAAGCGUAAUAGCUCACUGGUCGAGUCGGCCUGCGCGGAAGAUGUAACGGGGCUAAACCAUGCACCGAAGCUGCGGCAGCGAACGUAUCACCCAAGACAACUUUACGGAGUUGACGAUUGACGGAGCGAAGCGACGUCAAAGCGUUCAUUAAAGUCGAGUUGGCUUAGGGAUACGUUCGUUGGGUAGGGGAGCGUUCUGUAAGCCUGUGAAGGUGUGUCGUGAGGCAUGCUGGAGGUAUCAGAAGUGCGAAUGCUGACAUAAGUAACGAUAAAGCGGGUGAAAAGCCCGCUCGCCGGAAGACCAAGGGUUCCUGUCCAACGUUAAUCGGGGCAGGGUGAGUCGACCCCUAAGGCGAGGCCGAAAGGCGUAGUCGAUGGGAAACGGGUUAAUAUUCCCGUACUUGGUGUUACUGCGAAGGGGGGACGGAGAAGGCUAUGUUGGCCGGGCGACGGUUGUCCCGGUUUAAGCGUGUAGGUGUGUGUUCCAGGUAAAUCCGGUUCACUUUAACACUGAGGCGUGACGACGAGGCACUACGGUGCUGAAGCAACAAAUGCCCUGCUUCCAGGAAAAGCCUCUAAGCAUCAGGUAACAUCAAAUCGUACCCCAAACCGACACAGGUGGUCAGGUAGAGAAUACCAAGGCGCUUGAGAGAACUCGGGUGAAGGAACUAGGCAAAAUGGUGCCGUAACUUCGGGAGAAGGCACGCUGACACGUAGGUGAAGUGAUUUACUCAUGGAGCUGAAGUCAGUCGAAGAUACCAGCUGGCUGCAACUGUUUAUUAAAAACACAGCACUGUGCAAACACGAAAGUGGACGUAUACGGUGUGACGCCUGCCCGGUGCCGGAAGGUUAAUUGAUGGGGUCAGCGCAAGCGAAGCUCCUGAUCGAAGCCCCGGUAAACGGCGGCCGUAACUAUAACGGUCCUAAGGUAGCGAAAUUCCUUGUCGGGUAAGUUCCGACCUGCACGAAUGGCGUAAUGAUGGCCAGGCUGUCUCCACCCGAGACUCAGUGAAAUUGAACUCGCUGUGAAGAUGCAGUGUACCCGCGGCAAGACGGAAAGACCCCGUGAACCUUUACUAUAGCUUGACACUGAACAUUGAGCCUUGAUGUGUAGGAUAGGUGGGAGGCUUUGAAGUGUGGACGCCAGUCUGCAUGGAGCCGACCUUGAAAUACCACCCUUUAAUGUUUGAUGUUCUAACGUGGACCCGUAAUCCGGGUUGCGGACAGUGUCUGGUGGGUAGUUUGACUGGGGCGGUCUCCUCCUAAAGAGUAACGGAGGAGCACGAAGGUUGGCUAAUCCUGGUCGGACAUCAGGAGGUUAGUGCAAUGGCAUAAGCCAGCUUGACUGCGAGCGUGACGGCGCGAGCAGGUGCGAAAGCAGGUCAUAGUGAUCCGGUGGUUCUGAAUGGAAGGGCCAUCGCUCAACGGAUAAAAGGUACUCCGGGGAUAACAGGCUGAUACCGCCCAAGAGUUCAUAUCGACGGCGGUGUUUGGCACCUCGAUGUCGGCUCAUCACAUCCUGGGGCUGAAGUAGGUCCCAAGGGUAUGGCUGUUCGCCAUUUAAAGUGGUACGCGAGCUGGGUUUAGAACGUCGUGAGACAGUUCGGUCCCUAUCUGCCGUGGGCGCUGGAGAACUGAGGGGGGCUGCUCCUAGUACGAGAGGACCGGAGUGGACGCAUCACUGGUGUUCGGGUUGUCAUGCCAAUGGCACUGCCCGGUAGCUAAAUGCGGAAGAGAUAAGUGCUGAAAGCAUCUAAGCACGAAACUUGCCCCGAGAUGAGUUCU
rnacentral:rRNA from 1 species